rnacentral:rRNA from 1 species
AUACGGAGGGUGCAAGCGUUAUUCGGAAUCACUGGGCGUAAAGGACGCGCAGGCGGGUUGGCAAGUCAGAUGUGAAAUCCUACAGCUUAACUGUAGAACUGCAUUUGAAACUGCUAACCUAGAGUAUGGGAGGGGGAGAUGGAAUUAGUGGUGUAGGGGUAAAAUCCGUAGAUAUCACUAGGAAUACCGAAAGCGAAGGCGAUCUCCUGGAACAUAACUGACGCUAAGGCGUGAAAGCGUGGGGAGCAAACAGGAUUAGAAACCCUGGUAGUCC